rnacentral:rRNA from 1 species
AUGUGUGACAAGUGUGAACGCUGGAAGCAUCAAAUUUGUGCCCUUUUUAAUUUCAAAAGGGGUGAUUCUAAAGAAGCAAAAUGUACUUGCCCUAAAGUGUUGUUCUUGGGGCUAAAGAUCUGCCAAGGGCCGUGCUUAGCAAUCAUAUACAAGAACAACUCUUUAAACCGUUCAGGGAAGAGAGACACUAACAGGCCAUUCAUGAUGGGAAAAGCUUUGAUGAGGUUAGUGUUGCCUCAUCAAAUUCACAGAAUCUUACUUCUUUCCUGA